CUGGCCGACGCAUCGCCCACUCUAAACUUGGCGAAAUGUGAGUUUGGCAAAGCUACCUUGACCUAUCUUGGCCAACAGUUAGGCCAGGGCCAGGUAUGCCCCUCUAGAGGCAAAGAUAGCUGCCAUUCCUUUCCCCACCACCCGGAGAUCUAUAAGGAGUUUCUUAGGCUUGGCUCCUUACUAUAGAAGUUUCUGUAGAAAAUUUUCCAUCGUUGUCCAGCCUUUAACUAAUCUUCUUAGCCCCAAGGUUGAUUUUGUGUGGAACCAGGAGUGCCGGCAUGCUUUUGAUAGCAUCAAGGCUCUCUUGAGCCACGCCCCUGUGGCUGCUGCUCCUGACCUUGCUCGCCCGUUUAAGUUGGAGGUUGAUGCAAGCGCAGUCGAAGCCGGGGCAGUUCUGCUGCAGGAGGAUGUCUGUGGGGUUGACCAACCGGUGUGCUACUUCUCCAGGAAGUUUAAAAAACACCAAGUAAAUUACUCCACCAUCGAAAAAGAGACUCUUGCUCUGUUGUUGGCACUCCAACAUUUUGAAGUGUAUGUUGGGUCCAGUCCUUUGCCAGUUGUUGUCUUCACAGAUCACGACCCACUCGGAAUCCUUGCGCGCAUGUACAACCAUAACCAAAGGCCGAUGUGGUGAGCGUUGAUCGUGCAGGACUUCAACCUGGUAAUCCGGCACAAAAAGGGGGAGUGGUGUUACGGCUCCAGACGUGUAGUUUGUUGGCUGCUGGUGAAGGAGGAUUGGAGCUUCGGGCGACCACGGGAGCGAAUCAGAUUCUGCAAUUUGUCGUCCACAAGUUUCAAAAGGCUGCUGGAGCUUCAGUCAAGGCGGCUGGAUCUGAUGUGAACCGUCGCCCAAACCUUUGUCUGUGCUCGGCUUCUUUCUAUUAUAUAUUGUGAUUUAGUUGUGGUUGUUCUUUAGUUUCUGUGCAACAGUUAAACUGACCCUAGUUUUUGUUGUCAUUUUAUUCUGUUAAACCUUUAGCCUGAAGGGUCCUUUGUUUGUAAAUAGAUCUUGCCGCUAUUUUAUUUCUUAAUAAAAACACCUCUGUUAAAU